rnacentral:rRNA from 1 species
AACGAACGCUGACGGCAGGCUUAACACAUGCAAGUCGAACGCCCCGCAAGGGGAGUGGCAGACGGGUGAGUAACGCGUGGGAAUCUACCCAGUUCUGCGGAACAACAGUUGGAAACGACUGCUAAUACCGCAUACGCCCUACGGGGGAAAGAUUUAUCGGAGUUGGAUGAGCCCGCGUAAGAUUAGCUAGUUGGUGAGGUAAUGGCUCACCAAGGCGACGAUCUUUAGCUGGUCUGAGAGGAUGAUCAGCCACACUGGGACUGAGACACGGCCCAGACUCCUGCGGGAGGCGGCAGUGGGGAAUAUUGGACAAUGGGCGCAAGCCUGUUCCGGCCAUGUCGCGUGAGUGAUGAAGGCCUUAGGGUUGUAAAGCUCUUUCAGUAGGGAAGAUAAUGACGGUACCUACAGAAGAAGCCCCGGCUAACUUCGUGCCAGCCGCCGCAGUAAAAC